GACUCCCGACUGGCUGCUGGUUGAGCGACGGGUAUGGAGGUCUAGCCUGCUCUGGCAUGUUCUGGGUGGGGGGGUGUUGGCUCGCAGCAAUUGUAAUCGGUUUCAGUUCAUUUUCAUUUAAAUAGAAUUAAAUAUGGUAAAUAAUGAAAUCUAGCGGCGGGCAACAUACAUACAUACAUAUGUUGCUAUACAUAUGUAUAUUGGUACGUACAUACACAUGUAUGUAUGUGUGGUGAAUUGUUGUGGUGAAGGUGAGCGAGUGAGUAAGUUAGUGAGCUGCGCGUGCAACGACCGACAUUUUUUUUCUUUCUUGUGUAUAUAGUCAGGCGAGUCGAGAGUUGUCAGGUCGGCAGAUAUAGCGAGACCCGAGACCAGACGACGAGACGAGACGACAUUUAAACUACUACUUAGCGACUGCCACCAGCCGACAACAAUGGCAGCGAAUCGUUGUUGUCGUCGGCGUCCAGUCAGCAUUUUUAUUAUUUAAGCCGUGCGCGUAAAGAAAGCAAAAAUCGUAAUCUUUAUAAUAAAUAAAUAAUUUGAAAUACA